GUAGCUUCAGUUCCAGGUCAGGAAAGACAUGCUGAACAUCAGUUACAGUGGUUUCACAUGACUGGAAUACUUUCAUGGAGCUCCCAGCUUUGGAAGUGACAGAGAAGUAAAUAGAUGCCACAAACCAGCAUAAAAAGUACUCUGACUCCCAGCUUUUCUUGGAAAAUCCAAAGACCUGCCACCAGGCUUAUCUCCCUUUGUGUUUCUUGGAGAUUAACCUGAUGUUACUGUGAGAAGGCUCUGUAUGUUGCCAAGUUUUGAACUCUACUGAAUGGAACCAAAAAUAAAAGUCUA